CACCAGGUCAGGACACGGUAAGGAUUGACGGACUGAAGGCUCUUUCUCGAUUCCGUGGAAAGUGGUGCAUGGCCGUUUUGGUUGGUGGAUCGAUCCGUCUGGUUAAUUCCGUUAACGAACGAGACCUCGGCACUCCGAAUAGCGCGGCGGACGUCGCGGCCUCCGGGCCGUCUUCCGCACGAGCUUCUUAGAGGGGACCGUCCCCCGCCGGGGAAGGAGGUGCGAGGCAACGACAGGUCUGUGAUGCCCUUAGAUGUUCUGGGCCGCACGCGCAUUACACUGACGCGUCCAACGGGUGACUCCCGACCCGAAGGGGCCGGGGAAUCCGCAAGGCGCGUCGUGAUGGGGAUUGAACGUUGCAAUUGUUGUUCACGAACGAGGAAUUCCUAGUAGGCGCGGGUCAUCAACCCGCGCCGAUUACGUCCCUG
rnacentral:rRNA from 1 species